rnacentral:rRNA from 1 species
UACGGUAGGGGGCAAGCGUUGUCCGGAAUCAUUGGGCGUAAAGAGCGUGUAGGCGGUUCGGUAAGUCGGCUGUGAAAGUCCAGGGCUCAACCCUGGGAUGCCGGUCGAUACUGCCGGACUAGAGUUCGGAAGAGGCGAGUGGAAUUCCCGGUGUAGCGGUGAAAUGCGCAGAUAUCGGGAGGAACACCUAUGGCGAAGGCAGCUCGCUGGGACGUUACUGACGCUGAGACGCGAAAGCGUGGGGAGCAAACAGG